rnacentral:lncRNA from 1 species
GUUUCAGGUGCUGAGAGGACUGUCUGACCAUAUGCAAACGUGACCGUAACCUUGAUGUUGACGUUGACCCCUUUGUCCUCUUCAGGUCUUUUUGCGGUCUGGGCUUGCUGUUAACAAACCUCAACCCAGGAAGCCCUUACCCCAAAAAGCAUCUGCAGUUGACCCCAGCAUCACAAACCAUUCUCUACAAUGUUAUCGAAUGCAAAGGCACAGUGACGACUGGUUGGUUCACUGCUGAGUCCUCCGGUAAGGAGUUGCAAAACAACAGAAGAGCAGGCUGAGCAACCCUGGGUAAUCGAUUCAUCAUCCUGUUUCCGCAUCAUGACGGCAGGAAACCAACUCGAACACAUUCAUCACGUCAAUAACUAUGUCUCUGCCUGGGGGGUGUUACCCAACUCGGUUUUUAUGUUAUUGUCUACGCUGCCUGAUGCUAUUUAACCACCUUACUGAGACAGCAGGGUCACUUCCUGAAUCAACAGUAGCAACAACCAAUCACAACAUUCCAUUUCCCACAGGAAGUUAAACUGUGUGGGCUCCAAGCCCUGGUCAGAUGCCCAGGGUCCUUGCUAUCUGGCAUCCUUGGGACGUCAGCCCAUUAAAGUUGAAAUGUUAAAUGGUUAAGGUAAGGGUUAAGGUUAGGGUUAUGUAAGGGUUAAGGUGAUGCUAAGGCGUUAAGGUUAGGGUUAGAGUUUAGGGUAUGCGACAUCCAAAGGAUUCCAGAUAGCACUAACCGAUGCCCAGGGAUGUAUUUAAUUUCUCCUAGCUCCUUCACAGAACUGACAGACUGAAUAAGUGAAGGGGUAACAUUUUAUAUGAAGGGGUUUUAAGGCAGACAACGCUGUCAUAAGACUACAUGACAUGUGACAUAAACAUGAAUAGAUAUUUAUAUAUGUUUGUUCUAGUCAUCAAUAAGUGUAAUUUCAUUUCCAAUGUCAAGUUGACAUAAUUCAUUAUUAUCAUAUCAUUGUCUUGGCAUAACUUGUCAUGGUAGUAUGUUAUCAUUCAGUGCCUUCGGAAAGUAUUUAUACCCUUUGACUUAUUCCACAUUUUGUUGUGUUACAGCCUGAAUU